rnacentral:rRNA from 1 species
UACGUAGGGGGCAAGCGUUGUCCGGAUUUAUUGGGCGUAAAGAGCGUGUAGGCGGCCAUGCAGGUCCGUUGUGAAAACUCGAGGCUCAACCUCGAGACGCCGAUGGAAACCGUGUGGCUAGAGUCCGGAAGAGGAGAGUGGAAUUCCUGGUGUAGCGGCGAAAUGCGCAGAUAUCAGGAAGAACACCCGUGGCUAAGGCGGCUCUCUAGUACGGUACUGACGCUGAGACGCGAAAGCGUGGGGAGCGAACAGG